GCGGCUAUAGUUUAGUGGUAAAACUCGGGUUUGUGGUACCCGCAUCGAGAGUCCGAUUCUCUCUAGCCGCC
rnacentral:tRNA from 2 species